UACGUAGGGUCCGAGCGUUGUCCGGAGUUACUGGGCGUAAAGAGCGUGUAGGCGGUCCGGUAAGUCCGCUGUGAAAGUCGGGGGCUCAACCCUCGAAUGCCGGUGGAUACUGUCGGGCUAGAGUGCGGAAGAGGCGAGUGGAAUUCCUGGUGUAGCGGUGAAAUGCGCAGAUAUCAGGAGGAACACCUAUUGCGAAGGCAGCUCGCUGGGACGUAACUGACGCUGAGACGCGAAAGCGUGGGGAGCAAACAGG
rnacentral:rRNA from 1 species